rnacentral:rRNA from 1 species
CCUACGGGAGGCAGCAGUGAGGAAUAUUGGUCAAUGGCCGUGAGCCUGAACCAGCCAAGUCGCGUGAAGGAUGACUGCCCUACGGGUUGUAAACUUCUUUUAUAAAGGAAUAAAGUGAUGCACGUGUGCCUUUUUGUAUGUACUUUAUGAAUAAGGAUCGGCUAACUCCGUGCCAGCAGCCGCGGUAAUACGGAGGAUCCGAGCGUUAUCCGGAUUUAUUGGGUUUAAAGGGUGCGUAGAUGGGUUGUUAAGUCAGUUGUGAAAGUUUGCGGCUCAACCGUAAAAUUGCAGUUGAUACUGGCAGACUUGAGUACAGUUGAGGUAGGCGGAAUGCGUGGUGUAGCGGUGAAAUGCUUAGAUAUCACGAAGAACUCCGAUUGCGAAGGCAGCCUACUAAGCUGUAACUGACAUUGAUGCUCGAAAGUGUGGGUAUCAAACAGGAUUAGAUACCCUGGUAGUC